rnacentral:lncRNA from 1 species
GCACAAAUCGUGCCUAUUCUAUACUGGUACAGUGACAGAUAUGCUUCAAGGUGGAAGGAGAUGGAAAACAAAUUUUUUUUCUAGGAUUCCCAUCCAAGUUGUGAUUGCUGAUAAGGGCUUGAUUAAUCAUAUGGAAAGAUUGGGGAUCCAUUGGCUGACUCAUACACUUAAGGUUAGGGAAAAGAUUAUCAAUUUAUGUCAAUUACAAAAUAUGUUAAGAAUCUUCAGAUGGUUUGCAUAUGAUUCUGACUUCAGCCCAAACAGAUAUGUUAGUUUUAAGUCCUGGUCAUCCUGUGGACUCACAACUUACCUUUCACUUACUGAAAAUAAUGUUAUGUGUAGUUUUGAUUCAUUGCAGGAAAAACAUGGGCUGGAACGUAAUGAAUUUCACAGGUAUCUGCAGGUACGAUCGUACAUCUCUAGCGAAUGUAAGAUGACUGAUCUAUCUGAGGUGGAGAUGGAAUUUUAUCGUAUCUUAAAAAAUUCUAUUAGUAACAUACCUUCCAAAUCCAUUUCUAAAAUAUAUAAUGCACUUUCUCUUUCGUGCUCAGACAACACUCUGUACAUUAAAUGCAAAUGGGAGAAAGAAUCAAAAUCAAAUUUAUCAGCAGAGGCUUGGACCAGCAUCCUGUCAUCUCAGUGGUGGACCUCCAGUUCAAUGACCUGGAGAGAACACGGCUGGAAAAAUAUUAUAAGAUACUUUAAAACUCCAUACCAAGAACAGUAUAAAGGGGAUGACAGGCCAUGCUGGAGACGAUGUGGUUCAACUUCCGCAAACCACUUUCAUAUCUUCUGGGACUGCCCCAGUCUACUGUCAUUCUGGAGGGGUGUGCAGAUGUGUUUGAGCACUGUGUUUGAUACUCCAAUUCCCCUUUGCUUUACAGUUUUAUAUCUGGGUUUUACACCUUUUAUGAAAUGCAAGUCUGAGAUAAAACUUAUGCAGCUACUUUUAGUAGCUUGUAAAAAAGCAAUAACAAGGAGAUGGCCGAGUCCAACUCAGCCUACUCUGGAUGACUGGGUUGGAAUUGUUUUAGAAAUAUUUAGGAUGGAAAAAUUGACAUAUCAAUUCAGGAUUCAAAAGGAAAAAUUUUAUCAUAGUUGGAAUAAAUGGAUCCAAUUCAUUGCCACAUCUAGACAGAAUUUGUUUUGAUACCAAGAGUUUACAAUGUCUGUUUUUUCUCUCUUUUUUUUUUUAAUUUUAUAUAUGCAUAUCUAUUUAUGGAUGUAUAGAUAUAUAAAUAUUUGCACACGAGUGUGUAGGUAUGUGUGUAUAUGUAUAUAAAUAGAUAUGGGUAUGCGUGCAUGAGUAUAUAUACAUAUAUAUAUUCUUACCUUGAAAGGUAUUGACAAGGAGUGGAACUCUGAUCUCCCUGUUUAUGGAAAGAGUUAUACCACAAGUUCUGUGUGAC